rnacentral:rRNA from 1 species
UACAGAGGGGGCAAGCGUUGUUCGGAAUUACUGGGCGUAAAGGGCGCGUAGGCGGCCUUUUAAGUCGAACGUGAAAUCCCCGGGCUCAACCCGGGAACUGCGUUCGAGACUGAUUGGCUUGAAUCCGGGAGAGGGAUGCGGAAUUCCAGGUGUAGCGGUGAAAUGCGCAGAUAUCGGGAGGAACACCAGUGGCGAAGGCGGCGCUCUGGGCCGGAACUGACGCUGAGGAGCGAAAGCGUGGGUAGCAAACAGG